rnacentral:rRNA from 1 species
AUGGAGGCACGGACGAGCUCGACGGCGGCCGCCGCCGCGCCGCUUCCCCCGGACGAUCUCCUCCUGGAGAUCCUGCUCCGCCUCCCGCCGGAGCCGAUCCACCUCUUCCGCGCCUCCUUCGUCUGCAAGCACUGGCGCGGCCUCGUCCACGACGCCCGCUUCCUUCGCCGCUUCCGCGAUUUCCACGGCGGGACGCCUCCCGUGCUCGGCUUCUUCAACCAGGCAGGGCCUCCCUUAUUCGUCCCCACCUCCGGCGGCUUCGCGCUCUCCACCGCCACCGUGUUCCCCGAUGACUGGUGGGCCCUCGACUGUCGCCACGGCCGCGUCCUCCUGGACAGCUGCCGCAACCGGACGCUGCUCGUCUGGGAACCCAUGACCGGUGACAAGCGCUACCUGCCGCCCCCCGCGCAGGCCUCUCAUGGGAGCUUCGAGUACAAUGCCGCAGUUCUGUGCGCGGCUGGGCACACCGACCACGGCGACUGCCAUUCCUGCCCGUUUCUCGUGGCGUUCGUGUUCAGUCACCAGACAGAUUUCAUCACCUCCGCAUGCGUCUUCUCGUCCGAGACCGGUGUCUGGGGUGAGAUCACUUCGAUUCUUGUGCCAUAUGCAUUAGGUCAGGCAACGCCCACGGCUCUGGUUGGAAACACAAUCUACUGGCUGUUGGACAACUGCAGCAUCUUUGAGUUUGAUUUGGAUAAGCAUAUGCUGGGUCUGACUGAGGAGUUCCCAUAUGACGCGCUAGAAAGCUACGAAAGACAGAUUGUCAUCAUGCCUACAGAUGUUGGAUGGCUUGGUUUGGCCGGAGUUGAAGAAUUCAAUCUCCAUCUGUGGUCAAAGGUGGUGAGCGUUGACGGGGUAGUGACAUGGACACACCAAAGGGUCAUUGAUCUCAAAAAGUUUCUUCCUCCCGAAGUAGUGGCGGGGUGUAUGGUUCAAGAUAUUCGAGCGGAGGCAGUUGGCUAUGCGGAAGAUGCUGAUGUGAUCUUCAUUGAUGUGUAUCCUAGCAUCUACAUGAUCCAUCUCAAGUCCAUGAAGGUCAAGGAGGUGUCAGGCAAACUCAUCUGCAAAUACAUUUUGCCUUACUCAAGUUUCUACGCUCCAGGAAUUGCCAUUGAUGGUGGAAAAGAUCAAGCUUAA